UACGAAGGGUGCGAGCGUUGUUCGGAAUUAUUGGGCGUAAAGGGUUCGUAGGCGGGAACGAAAGUCAAGUGUGAAAACCCCGGGCUUAACCUGGGACGUGCACUUGAAACUCCGUUUCUUGAGUGUUGGAGAGGGUGGUGGAAUUGCUGGUGUAGGAGUGACAUCCGUAGAGAUCAGCAGGAACGCCAGAGGCGAAAGCGACCACCUGGCCAAACACUGACGCUGAGGAACGAAAGCGUGGGGAGCAAACAGG
rnacentral:rRNA from 1 species